rnacentral:rRNA from 1 species
GACGAACGCUGGCGGCGUGCUUAACACAUGCAAGUCGAACGGAAAGGCCCUGCUUUUGUGGGGUGCUCGAGUGGCGAACGGGUGAGUAACACGUGUGUAACCUGCCCUUGACUUUGGGAUAACUUCAGGAAACUGGGGCUAAUACCGGAUAGGAGCUCCUGCUGCAUGGUGGGGGUUGGAAAGUUUCGGCGGUUGGGGAUGGACUCGCGGCUUAUCAGCUUGUUGGUGGGGUAGUGGCUUACCAAGGCUUUGACGGGUAGCCGGCCUGAGAGGGUGACCGGCCACAUUGGGACUGAGAUACGGCCCAGACUCCUACGGGAGGCAGCGGUGGGGAAUAUUGCACAAUGGGCGGAAGCCUGAUGCAGCAACGCCGCGUGCGGGAUGACGGCCUUCGGGUUGUAAACCGCUUUCGCCUGUGACGAAGCGUGAGUGACGGUAAUGGGUAAAGAAGCACCGGCUAACUACGUG